GAUCAAAGUGAUCUGGCAAGCUCAUGAAUGAGGAUUGUUGCAGCUGUGUAGCAAGUCUACCAGACAGUGCAGCCAGCACUGAGUGGAAUUACUUUUUGAUGGACAAAUGGGCAAGGCGUUGUGGCAGACCAAAAGGAUACUAGAGGCUGAAUGGCCCUGAGAGUGCUUCUCUCACUCCCAGUGUAUGGAGUGCAGUUACUAAAGACGACAUGAUCCUGAGAGUGUUUUUCACACCCCCAGUGUAACGAGUUGGAAAGAAGACUGCCUGCCCGAACAUUGAUGAGGCCGGAAAGUCAUCAUGUAGUGCUGGAACCAAUAUGGCUGAAUAUCUCCGCCAGACGACCAAAAGAACAAGAGCCCUGAACCUUUCGUUCUGACUCUCGGGGACAAUCACUUCUACUCCCUGGCAUUCACCAUCAUGAAUGGGCAGGCUCUGGAGCAGAAGAUAUUAUGUUUCGUUGUUGCUUUACAUAAAUCCUAUUGAAAAUUGAUACCUGGUGGGGGAGUAGAGGGUAAAGUUAACUUUUCUUCAGCCCCUUUCCUCAGCAUUAAUUGGUAGGGCUGCUGUUAUUUUCUAAUUAUGGAUUGUGCUUGUAAAGUUUUUGUUUAUUUGUGUGUUCCUUAUUUGUUUAUCUUUUGCAUGACUUCAUUUUGUAGCUGAAAUUAAUAUGUGAAAAUAAACAUUUUGUAUUUUA